UACGUAGGGUCCGAGCGUUGUCCGGAAUUAUUGGGCGUAAAGAGCUCGUAGGCGGUCUGUCGCGUCGGCUGUGAAAACCCGGGGCUCAACCCCGGGCCUGCAGUCGAUACGGGCAGACUAGAGUGCGGUAGGGGAGACUGGAAUUCCUGGUGUAGCGGUGAAAUGCGCAGAUAUCAGGAGGAACACCGGUGGCGAAGGCGGGUCUCUGGGCCGAUACUGACGCUGAGGAGCGAAAGCGUGGGGAGCGAACAGG
rnacentral:rRNA from 1 species